rnacentral:rRNA from 1 species
GGGUCAGUAGGUUGGUCGUGCCACCGGUACGUACUGGUCUCACUGAUUCCUCCUUCCUGAAGAACCGUAAUGCCAUUAAUUUGGUGUUGCGGGGAACCAGGACUGUUACUUUGAAAAAAUUAGAGUGUUUAAAGCAAGCUAACGCUUGAAUACAUUAGCAUGGAAUAAUGAAAUAGGACGAUCGAUCCUAUUUUGUCGGUUUCUAGGAUUGACGUA